CCCCUAAGCUGUGGGCGAGAGUAGGCUGAAGCCUGAAGCCUGGCCUGCCCCACCCACCCCCAGAGACACCCCAGCAAGUUCAAUGUUUGUGAGGUUCAAGUUCCAUGGCUAACAGUAGGGACCAUUCCCAAGCAUCAGAGAAGCUAGCAUACAAUGCCCUGUUCUCAUGACUUCAACCAACCUUGAGUAUCUACUAAGUAAAUGCCCAUUGUUCAAAUACUGCCAACAUACAAACUUAAAAAAUGCAAACUACAGGGAACUAUAAGUAUUUCCUGCAGAAGAAACAUUUCGUUGACUCCCUAUACUGACAAGAGUGGAGCACACAGGCCACCAUUUCUUUUUCCUUUAUCUUUACUUUGAUUUUCACACUUGACUGAGAUCUGGUCACAACACAGCUCUUGGACCUGGAGUUGAAUUGGCUGUUCUUCCCACAACUCAAAGAGUUAUCUUUGGCCUGUUACUGAAGAAAGAAUCACCCUGAGUAGACAUCCCUGUGGAGUGGCAGACUCACUAUCCCAUGCCAAUACACGGCAGUUGGGAAGCUGGGCUAGGUGGAUGACUGCAAGUUUGAGACCAGCUAGAGCUAUGUAGUGAAUUCUAGAUUGCCCAGAGAUUGGCAGAAUCUAAAUCUCAUCGACAGCCAAGAGGACCAUCACACCUUCCAAAGGUUUCACGACUUUCCAGCCUCAUCACACUCAUCACAAACUAGUAACUAAGCAUUUAGCAGAUGGGCUGUGGGACACAUGAAUGCUCAAACCCAUAUAUAUAUAUAUAUGAUAUACAGGCCUAAUAUAUCUAUAUAUCUAUAUCUAUAUCUAUAUCUAUCUAUUCAUGGCCUCUUCGUUGUAAUGAAAACUGCUUAAAUAUUUGAAGAUUUCUCCUUUCCCUAAAGUGAAAGAAUUUG
rnacentral:lncRNA from 1 species